rnacentral:rRNA from 1 species
AGCGGCGGACGGGUGAGUAACACGUGGGUAACCUGCCCAAGAGACUGGGAUAACACCUGGAAACAGAUGCUAAUACCGGAUAACAACACUAGACGCAUGUCUAGAGUUUGAAAGAUGGUUCUGCUAUCACUCUUGGAUGGACCUGCGGUGCAUUAGCUAGUUGGUAAGGUAACGGCUUACCAAGGCAAUGAUGCAUAGCCGAGUUGAGAGACUGAUCGGCCACAUUGGGACUGAGACACGGCCCAAACUCCUACGGGAGGCAGCAGUAGGGAAUCUUCCACAAUGGACGAAAGUCUGAUGGAGCAACGCCGCGUGAGUGAAGAAGGGUUUCGGCUCGUAAAGCUCUGUUGGUAGUGAAGAAAGAUAGAGGUAGUAACUGGCCUUUAUUUGACGGUAAUUACUUAGAAAGUCACGGCUAACUACGUGCCAGCAGCCGCGGUAAUACGUAGGUGGCAAGCGUUGUCCGGAUUUAUUGGGCGUAAAGCGAGUGCAGGCGGUUCAAUAAGUCUGAUGUGAAAGCCUUCGGCUCAACCGGAGAAUUGCAUCAGAAACUGUUGAACUUGAGUGCAGAAGAGGAGAGUGGAACUCCAUGUGUAGCGGUGGAAUGCGUAGAUAUAUGGAAGAACACCAGUGGCGAAGGCGGCUCUCUGGUCUGCAACUGACGCUGAGGCUCGAAAGCAUGGGUAGCGAACAGGAUUAGAUACCCUGGUAGUCAUGCCGUAAACGAUGAGUGCUAAGUGU